GAUGAAGAACGCAGUGAAAUGCGAUAAGUAAUGUGAAUUGCAGAAUUCAGUGAAUCAUCGAAUCUUUGAACGCACCUUGCGCCCUUUGGCUAUUCCGAAGGGCAUGCCUGUUUGAGUAUCAUGAACACCUCAACUCUCAUGGCCUGCCAUGAUGAGCUUGGACUUUGGGGGUCUUGCCGGCCUAGUGUCGGCUCCUCUCAAACGGAUCAGCUUGCCAGUGUUUGGUGGCGUCACAGGUGUGAUAACUAUCUACGCUUGUGGUUUUUCACCAGGUUAACCUUCAGUGAUGGAGGUUCGCUGGAGCUCAUAAAUGUCCCUUCUCAGUGAGGACAGCUCUUUGAACGUUUGAUCUCAAAUCAGGUAGGACUACCCGCUGAACUUAAGCAUAUCAAUAAGCGGAGGA
rnacentral:misc_RNA from 1 species